CCGUACUUGGUGUUACUGCGAAGGGGGGACGGAGAAGGCUAUGUUGGCCGGGCGACGGUUGUCCCGGUUUAAGCGUGUAGGUGUGUGUUCCAGGUAAAUCCGGUUCACUUUAACACUGAGGCGUGAUGACGAGGCACUACGGUGCUGAAGCAACAAAUGCCCUGCUUCCAGGAAAAGCCUCUAAGCAUCAGGUAACAUCAAAUCGUACCCCAAACCGACACAGGUGGUCAGGUAGAGAAUACCAAGGCGCUUGAGAGAACUCGGGUGAAGGAACUAGGCAAAAUGGUGCCGUAACUUCGGGAGAAGGCACGCUGACACGUAGGUGAAGUGAUUUACUCAUGGAGCUGAAGUCAGUCGAAGAUACCAGCUGGCUGCAACUGUUUAUUAAAAACACAGCACUGUGCAAACACGAAAGUGGACGUAUACGGUGUGACGCCUGCCCGGUGCCGGAAGGUUAAUUGAUGGGGUCAGCGCAAGCGAAGCUCCUGAUCGAAGCCCCGGUAAACGGCGGCCGUAACUAUAACGGUCCUAAGGUAGCGAAAUUCCUUGUCGGGUAAGUUCCGACCUGCACGAAUGGCGUAAUGAUGGCCAGGCUGUCUCCACCCGAGACUCAGUGAAAUUGAACUCGCUGUGAAGAUGCAGUGUACCCGCGGCAAGACGGAAAGACCCCGUGAACCUUUACUAUAGCUUGACACUGAACAUUGAGCCUUGAUGUGUAGGAUAGGUGGGAGGCUUUGAAGUGUGGACGCCAGUCUGCAUGGAGCCGACCUUGAAAUACCACCCUUUAAUGUUUGAUGUUCUAACGUGGACCCGUUACCCGGGUUGCGGACAGUGUCUGGUGGGUAGUUUGACUGGGGCGGUCUCCUCCUAAAGAGUAACGGAGGAGCACGAAGGUUGGCUAAUCCUGGUCGGACAUCAGGAGGUUAGUGCAAUGGCAUAAGCCAGCUUGACUGCGAGCGUGACGGCGCGAGCAGGUGCGAAAGCAGGUCAUAGUGAUCCGGUGGUUCUGAAUGGAAGGGCCAUCGCUCAACGGAUAAAAGGUACUCCGGGGAUAACAGGCUGAUACCGCCCAAGAGUUCAUAUCGACGGCGGUGUUUGGCACCUCGAUGUCGGCUCAUCACAUCCUGGGGCUGAAGUAGGUCCCAAGGGUAUGGCUGUUCGCCAUUUAAAGUGGUACGCGAGCUGGGUUUAGAACGUCGUGAGACAGUUCGGUCCCUAUCUGCCGUGGGCGCUGGAGAACUGAGGGGGGCUGCUCCUAGUACGAGAGGACCGGAGUGGACGCAUCACUGGUGUUCGGGUUGUCAUGCCAAUGGCACUGCCCGGUAGCUAAAUGCGGAAGAGAUAAGUGCUGAAAGCAUCUAAGCACGAAACUUGCCCCGA
rnacentral:rRNA from 1 species